CAUUUCUUCCUGUUUUUCAGUCCCUUCUUUUGUUGCCAUGGUUACUCAUUGUGUUCACCUGUCUCUGAUUAGUGCUCGCACCGCUCACCUGCUUCCUGAGCACUAAUCAGAGGCAGUGUUUAUGCUUGUCAUUUCCAGUCCUACUGGCCUCAUUGUUCUUUUCAUGCCAAAGUCCAUGCUGCUCCUUUCAAGCCACAUCAAUUGCAUGGUGGCCAAGUCAUCCAGCAGAUGGAGAUUCACCUCCAGGGCUCGCUCGGGAACAGGAUUUACAGUGGCUGUCUAGCUGUAUUUUCCUCCUCCCACCUGGUAGUUUGGACAAUCAGUGUGUAAAGGAUAUCACCAGAUGGGCUAAGGAAGACUUCAGAAAACCUCAGUAACUAACUACAGUUCGUCGCUACAUCGCUUACUGCGAGAUUUGUUCGCCCGGGAUGCAAACGGACGACUCCGGACAGAACUUGCAGGU